AUCCUACUCCCUCCGUCCGAAAAAGCUUGUCCAAGGUUGUCCCUCAAAUGGAUGUAUCUAGCACUAACUUGAUGCUAGAUACAUUCAUUUGAGGGACACGUUUUUUUGGACGGAGGGAGUAUGAU
rfam:Triticum aestivum genome assembly, contig: Triticum_aestivum_CS42_TGACv1_scaffold_222993_3B